UUGGCCUCCGUAAUCACCGUGACGCUUGGCAAAAUGAAUGCGCCGUGACGUGCCUAGGGCGAACGACUGCGCACGAUACGACACCUUAGCUUAACCAAGAACACGCAACAUGGAAUGGAUUGUAGUUUCGUAAUUUUAAAACAACACGAACAAUUUUAAUAAUCGUCGCUAUAAGUAUUUGUUGAAUAAUUUUACAUUUGAGAGUAUUACAAUUGUUUUGGAAGAUGGUGGACUACUUUAGACGAAUUACGCAAAUGUGCACAAAUAUAUCUGUGCGCAGAGUUUUAAUUUUCGGAUUAUGUUACUGUUUAGUUCUCGGGAUGCCAUAUUCAAAGUUCAAUGACGAAGAAGCGGAUGAUUUUGAAGAUUCGACCGUAUCCCCAGCAAGCCUGUCAGGGUGGGGACUAAGAGAUAUCCCGGGGGACGAGCAAUUGAUACUGUAUUUGACGAACUACGAAGAACCAAUACCCGACGAAUACGUGACCCUGCGCAUUAACAAGUUCGAAAAUCCGCUCCUAGGCAACAACGUCAAUAGAAUAAUUCCGCUGAAAAAGUCGGACCAUACAAUGAAAGGAAAAAGACGGCUUGCUUUCACCGCUCUACGCGGUCGCUAACGUCACGUUGGUCUUGAUGACGUCUUAUCGGACAUAGUACCACACAAUUGAGCUGUGAAACUAGAACUGGUUUAAAUUUUCGUUGAAUUUAGAUAUCUUUAAUGACAUUUGGUGCUUAAAAAAAAUACAAUUACAAAGGGACAUAUCAAAGUAUAGUGGCCUACUGUGGAUCUAACAAUUAAAAGGGUUUCAACUCACAUUUGCACAUUUUCGAAUUGUUAAUAAAGGUAAUUUGAAUAAAAUCUGAAAAACGUC